rnacentral:rRNA from 1 species
GACGGAGGGUGCUAGCGUUGUUCGGAAUUACUGGGCGUAAAGGGCGCGUAGGCGGCCGGAUCAGUCGGGUGUGAAAGCCCGGGGCUCAACCCCGGAAUUGCACCCGAGACGGUUUGGCUGGAGACCGGGAGAGGAGGGUGGAAUAGCCAGUGUAGAGGUGAAAUUCGUAGAUAUUGGCUGGAACACCGGUGGCGAAAGCGGCUCUUUGGCCCGGUUCUGACGCUGAGGCGCGAAAGCGUGGGGAGCAAACAGG